ACGAACGCUGGCGGCGUGCCUCAUACCUGCCAGUCGCGCGCGUCUGCCUUGAAGAUCGGAGUGCUUGCACUCUGUGAAACAAGAUACAGGCUAGCGGCGGACGGGUGAGUAACACGUGGGUAACCUGCCCAAGAGAUCGGGAUAACACCUGGAAACAGAUGCUAAUACCGGAUAACAACAGAUGAUGCCUAUCAACUGUUUAAAAGAUGGUUCUGCUAUCACUCUUGGAUGGACCUGCGGUGCAUUAGCUAGUUGGUAGGGUAACGGCCUACCAAGGCGAUGAUGCAUAGCCGAGUUGAGAGACUGAUCGGCCACAUUGGGACUGAGACACGGCCCAAACUCCUACGGGAGGCAGCAGUAGGGAAUCUUCCACAAUGGACGCAAGUCUGACGGAGCAACGCCGCGUGAGUGAAGAAGGGUUUCGGCUCGUAAAGCUCUGUUGUUGGUGAAGAAGGACAGGGGUAGUAACUGACCUUUGUUUGACGGUAAUCAAUGAGAAAGUCACGGCUAACUAAGUG
rnacentral:rRNA from 1 species